GGAUGGAAUGAUGAUAUAUUACCGCCCCAGUCUGAUUGUUAUGACUGACUGGUUUUUCUGAAAGUUU